rnacentral:lncRNA from 10 species
UCCACCUUUACUUUCUUCUCUUAAUGUUUAUAAUUAGGUCGUUACCUUAAAUUCUCCUAUUGCUUAUGUUUGUCACUUUAAAUGAUAUCUUUAACCUCUAUUUCUUGUUCUGUGAAUUUUAGGUAGGAUCCCUUAACUCUACACUUUAAAAAUUAAGAUAUGGUAGAAUUUUUUUGGCAAGAAAAAAAUUAAAAAGAAGAAAAACUUAAGCUAUUUGGCUCCUUACUCUUCCUUCAACUUUUCUUCCACACCAGAGUCCUUUCCACAUCCCACCAUCUACCACCUACUUUUUCCUUUUAUAUUUCCAAGGUUGUUAACAUUUACCUUCAUGCAAUCACCACCCGGGUUUCUGUGCUUUUUCACAGAUUGACUCUAAAUAUAAUGACCCAGAAACAGCAUUUACAUUAUCCUUAUUGUGUAAAUAUUCUUUAAAGUUGGACCAAGUACUAUAUUAAGAUUGCAUUACUUUUUUCUGUGGACCAAAUACAACCCCUAGGGUCACUCAAAAGAGAUUGUGAUGGCUUUGUAAUGUGUUAGUGCGUUAUGCUACCAGCUAGGCUGACCUAUGUGUUCUGGAAUUCCUCUCCCUAUAUGAUUCAUAUUAGAUUGGGCCACAAGAGACAUUCUGUGUCAGAUUUUGAAGGCAGAAAUGAAAAAGUGGUUAUAUUGUUUGUAUGCUCAGAAGAUCAAGGAAGAGGCAACAGGAGGUUUUAGCUCUCACAUAUUUUCUUAUUUAGCAGCUCACAUUGUUGGGUAGGAGCAGAAGCCCAGCCUGCAGCUGCUCCAUCUUCCCCUAGGUCUUUCUGUUUCUUCUUCUUUCAGUUUCUUCUACGCCAGGUGUGUGCUUAGCUCCAUGACAAAAGGUGACAGCUUAUUCUGCAGCACACACACAUCAUCAAAGUGGGAGGUGGUGAGACUGGCACACUGACAGUCUGUCCUAGCAGAUUUCAGCUCACACUGGUGAGUUCCAGCAUGCUUAUACCGCUAUUUUACACGUCUUCCCUUCGCCAUUGUCUAUCUGCAGACUUCUCCAACAUCAGAUGCCAGAUGUCUCAUGGAAACUAAAUAACUUCUACAAUUGUGUGUGUAUUUAUAUAAUUGAUACAAAUAUUGGUUCUAACAUCAAUUCCAAGUUGAUUUUUUAACAUUCAACAAUUACUUCCAAUUGUGUCACUUCUUAUUUUGCUUCAUAUUUUUUACUGACAUUUCUAAUUAUAUUUCUUGGUUCCUUGAAUUUGUAACUUUAUCAUACUCAUAUUCUUCCUCAUUCUUAAUCAUAUUGUCCAUAGAGUUCCUUCCCCCACACCUUUCCCCCAACCCCAUAGAUAAACUUAUUUAUUUCCUUCAAUCGAGGACUAUGCAAACUAUAAUUAUGGGAUUUCUUUGACUUCUUUACCAGUUAGACACACUGUUUCCAAAAUUCCAUAUAACCUUUGUGCACUCUUCUGUUUUACUUUAAUAUAUCCUGUUAGUCACAAAGAAAAAUUGAUGAAGAAUAAAUAUUUUGAAUUUUGCAUGAUUAAAAAUGUCUUCAAACAAUCAUCAUAUAUGGUUGAUGGUCUGAGCAUAAAACAUUUUGUCUCAUAAAUUUGAAAAAUAUUUUUAUAGAAGUUUUUAGUGUCUUUUCUCCUUGGUGAUCUGUAAAAUGUUACAAGAAUAUGCCUUUGUGGGGAUCUUUUUGCAGUCUCAGACACCUAGUGGAUCCAGAUCCUUUUAAUCUGAAGACUCAUGUCCUUUUCAGUUUUAAAUAAUUUCCUUAUAUCCGUAUCUUUAAUAAUACUUCCUCUUCCAUCGCCACCACCCCAUCCUAACCCCAAGCACGCACUAUUUUUUGUUCUCUUUCUAAGACUCUUACUAACCAAAAGUUGAACAUUCCAUAUUUGAACCCUAUGCCUCAUUUCCUUGCUAACAUUUCCAUUACUUUCUCAUUUGGGUCUACUUUCUGGGAGAUUAUUAUCUUUUAUCUCAAUGGUUACAUUUUAAUCUGUAGAAGCUCUCUUUUAUUGUGUAAUAGUUUUCUUUGCAUUACUUUCCUGUUCUUGGAUUAAGAUUAAUAAAAAAAUACUAAUAUCCUCUUUAAAUUUCUAUGAAUAUAUUAACUAUUUCAGAUACAAUGGAAAGGACACUGGCCUUGAGUCAGAUAUCUGGACCUUGAUUAUUUAAUGUACCAAACAAGGAUAAUAUUUACUAUUCCACAGGAUUAUUUUGAAUAUUAAAAGAGAUAAUAUAUUUUAAGAGCCUUGUAAAUUAUGAAAUAUGUAAGUACAACAUAAGAAAGAUAUUUAAAUUAUUAUAUAUCCCUGCAUGACAAUGUUUCUGAGCAUGGCAAUUAAAUGCUUUUACGAACCCACGUUUAGUUAUUUCCUUCUAUAAUGUUCUAUAUACAUAAAACUUCAACCACAUCACACAAUGAAACUUGUGGAGUUAUUUUUUUGAGUCCUUUGCUGUCAUUCCUCCAGGCCUUGCUUUUGUUAAUGGAGCAGACACUGUCAUAUAUACCCAAUAUUCAUUUUCCACAUCUUCAGUAAUAAAAUCCUGUUUUUAGCAAAACACAUCAUUUCCCCACUUCUCCACCUCUCUUGAGGUUGCUUCCAGAAAUAAACAGAAUCAGUGUACACAACUUUUGGUAAAUGUUUGGAAAUAAAGAGGGCAUGCUCUUCUUCCCUACUAUCCCUUUCCUUUCUGCUGGCUGGAAUGCAGAUAUGAUGAAUGGAAAUAAUGUGGCCGUCUUAGAGCCUGAGCUGGAAGCCAUGUAUGGAAUAUGGUGGAGAAACAACAUGGAGGGAACACCCUUGGCUCCUACCUCUGAGUACAGUACCCAUGCUAGACUAACUAUACCUAGAUUUCUUUUAUGGGAGCAAGAGACAGUUUCCUAGCUUGUCAGACCAAUAUAACUUGGGGUUUUCUACUACUCCAUGAUGAACCUAAUCCUAAUUAAUAUGCUGUUAUAGUUUCUCAGCCUUUUGGUUAAGAUCAGAUAUACUAAGACACUCCCCAUCAGGACAUGACAGUAUUUACUCAUCCUUUAUGAGCCAAUGAAAGCAUCACCCUCUCUAGUAAGUCCUGCCUAAUGAGACCUCCCCAAUAGGAUUUAAUGUCUUUAUUAUAGAAUAUAUUUUUCAUGAGACAAAGGAUCCUGUUUAUUUUAUUCACUAGUGUGUGCCUAGUGCCUUGAAAAAUGUGUGGGCCAUAUUAAGCAGGUGUUUGUUUGUUUUUUGAGAUGCAGUCUCGUUCCACCACGCAUGGCCUUAAGCAGUUAAAUAGUUGUUAAGUAUGCACAACUCUAUAACCCUUAGGAUUUUGUGGUUACCUCAGCUAAACCAUAGAUGCUUUUCCCAAGCCUCUCUCCCUACACAAAUUGUAACCUCACUAGCGGGUAAAACCGUAUAUAUGUAUCACUUACUUUGCUCCUUAAUAUAUGGUACAUGACUGACAGUACUUAUGAAUUGAAUAAUUUAAAUGAGAAUAAGUGUAAUGAUAUAUAAAAAAUUAUUUUUAAAAUAAAAUUUACAUAAAAGUAUUACAAUUUGAGAUGAACUACAUCAACACUUUUUCAUCAAAAAAUAGUGUUUUCUCUCCCCUGAUUAUAAUGAGACAAUUUAGUGACUGCUUUUAUCAAACAUAAUAGAGCAAACCACAAUCUGACUUGGAGCAAUUUGCUGGACUUCCAAACCUCAGUUUUGUCAUUAAUAAUAUGAGGUUCAUAUCCACCACAUUUGGCAUCUUGGACUGUGCUUGAUUAACACUUGUGCUCAGUAAGUGGUAGCUGCAAUUCUUAUAGUGACUAAGAAAAAGCAUUAUCUUUAAAAUUUACUGAUUUAAAGUUUUAUAUACAUUCAUUUAUUCAAUAGCUAUUUGCUUGAUCCCUACAAUGUAACAGCAAUCUAGAUGCUGGGGACACAAGGUCCACCUUCCAGGAAUAUGGCCAUGACACCAGAAAUCACAAACAUGAUGAGAAUGGAAUGACUGGGGAAGAAGUGCCAGAUGCUUCACUUGUAAAUGAAGACCCAGCCUCUGGGGAUGCAGAUACCACCUCCCUGAAGAAGCUGAAUAUCUGCAGAUAAGUGGAGUUCACCAAUGAUGAGGAGCGGGAUGGAGAAAGGAGGUAGGGAGAGUCAUCCAAGGAACAUGAGCAACAUGUUAAAAGGUAAGAAGUGAGACAAUGGUGAGGUGGUGAAACUUAACAAGUCGGCCAUGGCUGGGGGUGAGAGUGAGGGAGGGUGGUGGGAAAUAAAGUUGCUGGGAUAGGGAGAAGCCAGAUGAUGCAGCUUUUGCAGGACAUGGUACAGAUUUGGGAAAAUAUUGUAAGGUUUUGGGAGAGUAUGAGGGAUUUAUGGGUCAGGUUUAUAUUACAAAGAUUAUUCUAAAAAUAUUAGGCCUCCCGAGGCACUCAAGCCUUUUACCUUGCAGUUUCUACUCACCCUUUGGGACUCAGCUCAAAUGACAUUUCCUCGGGGGUGCUCCCUGAUACCCAGAUUGUGCACCCUGUGAUUCUCCUUCAGAGUAUCACAAGUCGAAUAAAAUCGUUAAUAAUAGAAAAAAUAUCCUGUAUGUAAAUAGGCUACUUUAAAAUGAAAUCAUUUCACAUGUAUUAUAUUUUCUAUUUAAAUAAAUUCUACCAUUAAAUUUUUGAAACAUAUUUACCUCUUAACUAUAUGUCUAGUUAAGAAAGU